rnacentral:lncRNA from 1 species
AACUUUCAUUUAGAGAGAGCAGAUUUGAAACACUGUUUUUGUGGUAUUUGCAAGUGGAGAUUUCAAGCGCUUUGGGGUCAAUGGCAGAAAAGGAAAUAUCUUCGUUUCAAAACUAGACAGAAUCAUUCCCACAAACUGCGUUGUGAUGUGUUUGUUCAACUCACAGAGUUUAACCUUUCUGUUCAUAGAGCAGUUAGGAAACGCUCUGUUUGUAAAGUCUGUAAGUGGAUAUUCUGACAUCUUGUGGCCUUCGUUGGAAACGGGAUUUCUUCCUAUUCUGCUAGACAGAUGAAUUCUCAGUAACUUCCUUGUGUUGUGUGUAUUCAACUCACAGAGUUGAACGAUCCUUUACACAGAGCAGACUUGAAACACUCUUUUUGUGGAAUUUGCAAGUGGAGAUUUCAGCCGCUUUGAGGUCAAUGGUAGAAAAGGAAAUAUCUUCGUAUAGAAACAAGACAGAAUGAUUCUCAGAAACUCCUUUGUGAUGUGUGCGUUCAACUCACAGAGUUUAACCUUUCUUUUCAUAGAGCAGUUAGGAAACACUCUGUUUGUAAAGUCUGCAAGUGGAUAUUCAGACCUCCUUGAGGCCUUCGUUGGAAACGGGAUUUCUUCAUAUUCUGCUAGACAGAAGAA